rnacentral:rRNA from 1 species
AGAUUAGAGUUUGAUCAUGGCUCAGAACGAACGCUGGCGGCAGGCCUAAUACAUGCAAGUCGAGCGCACUCUUCGGAGUGAGCGGCGGACGGGUUAGUAACGCGUGGGAAUAUACCCUUCUCUACGGAAUAGCCUCGGGAAACUGAGAUUAAUACCGUAUACGCCCUUCGGGGGAAAGAUUUAUCGGAGAAGGAUUAGCCCGCGUAAGAUUAGAUAGUUGGUGGGGUAACGGCCUACCAAGUCGACGAUCUUUAGCUGGUUUGAGAGGAUGAUCAGCAACACUGGGACUGAGACACGGCCCAGACUCCUACGGGAGGCAGCAGUAGGGAAUCUUAGACAAUGGGCGCAAGCCUGAUCUAGCCAUGCCGCGUGAGUGAAGAAGGCCCUAGGGUCGUAAAACUCUUUCGCCAGAGAUGAUAAUGACAGUAUCUGGUAAAGAAACCCCGGCUAACUCCGUGCCAGCAGCCGCGGUAAUACGGAGGGGGUUAGCGUUGUUCGGAAUUACUGGGCGUAAAGCGUACGUAGGCGGACCAGAAAGUAAGAGGUGAAAUCCCAGGGCUCAACCCUGGAACUGCCUUUUAAACUCCUGGUCUUGAGUUCGAGAGAGGUAAGUGGAAUUCCAAGUGUAGAGGUGAAAUUCGUAGAUAUUUGGAGGAACACCAGUGGCGAAAGGCGGCUUACUGGCUC